UGAGCGCGCCUAAUUUUGAAUGUGCAUCUGAAGCUCGUCUCUGAUUGGAUAAUGACGUGAGGGCGGGAGGAGAAGAGCGCCUAGUUCACGACUAUAGCUAACGAGCCAGCACGAGAGAGAAGACGGGAGAAGAAAACAUCGAACUUUCAGCAACUACGUUGUUAGGACAAAUUACAAACAUACGAUUUCAAGUGUUUUUUGAGGAUCUGUGUUUGUUCGUCAGAAAGUCUGCACGCUACUCAGCUACUUUGAAGAGAAGGAGGAGUCCAUGCUUCUCUGUGUUGAAGAUACAUGUCUGGCAGAUGAGGUACAACUGGAGCAAGUGCCUCUGACACCCACUAUUAUCAUGUGUGGACAGUCCUGCUAUUCCUCAAGAAGAUACAUGCUGAGUGUUGAUCGGCACCUCGUCAGCACAAACAUAUCCUCCUUCAUUUCUGCACUGUGCCUCAUGUUCGGGAGCUACUACAAUUUCAACAUCCAUUAUCCAUCUGAGCUGGCUUCCACUUUAGAGUUUCUUCAGAGGUGUUUCUUCUCCAUAAACCCAGAAAAAGGAACCAAAGUAGAGAACAAAAACUCAAAGCGUCGUCUCAGUGUGAACCCUCGAGUCCUCACCCUGAUUUAGGAUCUCGCCGACCACGAGUGGCGCUAAGCCUAAAUCUUGACUCUCUGUGGACUGUUAGUUUUACUUUGUUAAUUUUGUUCCACAAUGUGUACUGGAACCUUUUACUGGUCGAAUGCAUGAAGCCAAUUCAUGAAGAUGUUCUUUCUUUGUAGGAAUGUUCUUUAUUUACAUAAGAAAAGAAAAAAAACAACAUGCUGCUACUGCAGUGUUUCUAGACCACAUGUGUAGGUUUGUUUCACCACGUGGUUUUGCUGAUGUUUUCUGACCAGGGCCAUGGUUGUGGUGACAGCAGGGUGCGUGUUGCGUUGCACGGUGAUUAUGAUCAUUUUUGACACAAUAUGUGUUUUUUGUUUUAAAGUCUUAACAGGUUAUUUAACUUUUUCUGGUGGAGGGUCUAACAAAUGCUUGUUUCAUGAACAUGGUUCUUGCUUUGCAGGAAUGUUCCACAGCUUUUAUAGCCUAUAUUUUGAUUGAAUUGUGUAGUUGCUGUGUGCCUUGCAUAUUGUGUUAGUUGGAAAAAUGGAUCCAUUUGCUGUCAUUUUGCUAAUGUGGCUGCAAAAUAAAUUUCCCAAAAGUGA